UACGUAGGGUGCGAGCGUUGUCCGGAAUUAUUGGGCGUAAAGGGCUCGUAGGCGGUCUGUCGCGUCGGGAGUGAAAACUCAGGGCUUAACCCUGAGCCUGCUUCCGAUACGGGCAGACUAGAGGUAUUCAGGGGAGAACGGAAUUCCUGGUGUAGCGGUGAAAUGCGCAGAUAUCAGGAGGAACACCGGUGGCGAAGGCGGUUCUCUGGGAAUGACCUGACGCUGAGGAGCGAAAGUGUGGGGAGCGAACAGG
rnacentral:rRNA from 1 species